AUAGAGGGGAAUAGCCUUCCGAAAGGAAGAUUAAUACCGCAUAAGAUUGUAGUAUCGCAUGAUACAGCAAUUAAAGGAGCAAUUCACUAUGAGAUGGACCCGCGUCGCAUUAGCUAGUUGGUGAGGUAACGGCUCACCAAGGCGACGAUGCGUAGCCGACCUGAGAGGGUGAUCGGCCACAUUGGGACUGAGACACGGCCCAGACUCCUACGGGAGGCAGCAGUGGGGAAUAUUCAAAGAUGGGGGAAACCCUGA
rnacentral:rRNA from 1 species